CGGCGGACGGGUGAGUAACACGUGGAUAACCUACCUAUAAGACUGGGAUAACUUCGGGAAACCGGAGCUAAUACCGGAUAAUAUAUUGAACCGCAUGGUUCAAUAGUGAAAGACGGUUUUGCUGUCACUUAUAGAUGGGUCCGCGCCGCAUUAGCUAGUUGGUAAGGUAACGGCUUACCAAGGCAACGAUGCGUAGCCGACCUGAGAGGGUGAUCGGCCACACUGGAACUGAGACACGGUCCAG
rnacentral:rRNA from 1 species